UCAGUCUGAGGGGAGGCCAGCUUCCAUGCUGUGAAAACACUCAAGCAGUCCCACAGAGCAUUCAAGUGGCAGAGUACUGAGGUGCCCUGGCAACGGCAAGAAACUGAGGCCUUUGUCCAAAGCCAUUAAGUGAGCCAUAAUGGAAGCAGGUGCUCCGGCCCCUGGUGGUCUUGAGAUGACAGCAGCCCCAGUGUCUUGACUGCAACCUCAAGAAAGACCUUGAGCCAAAGCCAUCCAGGGUGAAGUGGAGAUAGAACCCUCAAGGAGCUAUGCUCGGGAUGAACAGUGUCUGCUGUCAUUGUAGUGAAGGGAGCACUUCAGGGCGCCCGUGAACUGUCCCGUACUGUCCAGCGCAGGGGGUCAAUGCAGGCCCCACUCUGUGAAUCCAGACCGAGUCUGCUUGGCCCCAAGAAUUUCCAGGUUGGCCCCAAGUGAAUGCCACCUGGCUGUAAGCAUGGUCACACUCUGCCACAGAGCGGAAUUGCAGGAUUCUGAUAAACCUCAGGGCUGUACAGGAAGCAUGGCUCCAGC